rnacentral:lncRNA from 1 species
UCUUAAUAUGUGUGCAGCCCUUAGAGAAAAGCGACAGUUUUGCAAUGGAAAUCUUUAGCCACAGGCUACCUACAACAAUGCACAGCUCCCUGAUAAUUGAUUUGGCUUUCUUCCUGUCAAGGUCUUCCAUGGAAGGCAGCUCUGUCCCGGUGAUGUGCUGGGCAGUUUUUAAAUCAAAAUCAAAUGUACAUUGUAUUGUCACUUGUAUUUGUUUUUAAAUUGUCCCUUUUUUUGGGUUGCAAGGGAGUUACCUUGGCCAGCAGGCCAAAUUUCUCCAGAAUUGUCCUAAUCACAGAGAGAAAUAAAGAUUGACUAGACUAGUUUGAGUUCCAAAAACAGUGCUUUGCAAUACAAACAAAACGCAUUUAAACUUAAACUUAAAGCCUUAAAAAUAAACACAAAAAACAAAAUUAUAAAACACAAUAUGAUAACAACAUGAAAUAACCAUAAACACUUGUAUCUACCCAAUACACAUUUUUACUGAAUGGAACCUGAACGCAUCUUAAUGCAAGUCAAUUGCACCUCUGAUACCGGCAGCCAACAGCUAACGUUAACCAGCCGAGUGAAGUGUGGAUCGGUAAAUGUGCAUGCGUAGAACGCCAGGCCGACGUUGACCCUCAAUAUAUGUAUGAAUGGAACUGCGUGCCCACAGCGGUAAACGGGCACGGAACGCGGAGACUGCGGGGGCUGUUUCGUAGAGCUGUCGGCACUCCCGGGAGACUGACUGAAGUUCUGUCUGAGUGCCGGCUGUGCAGACCGCUUUCCAGGCGUGCUGCUCUCCUGGCUUCGGAGAGGACCAGAUGAAGGUGCAAUAAACAAACUAACCUAACGUUACAUGGACCGUAGAGCCUCCGGUUUACAUUAGUGCUAAACUACAGGCCGACAUGAAGAUUAUAAGAUAACAGUGUUAUUUUGAUCGACUCUCAGAGUUUCAGCACUUGCUCCUUGCACCUGCUGUUAGUUAUUAGUAGUUUUUUGUUAAUAACUGAUGACUGUAAAUGUAUAUGUAUAUGUAUGGAGCCAGUAAAGGUAAAAUGCUGCCCCCUAUUGAAAUUUUUUCAAUUACUCUUAUGCAGCAGAAAUGCCCUGUAGAUCGUUGGUCUGUGACAUUUCUGUAACAUCCUAUUGAGCUUACAUAGACUACCUACAUACAAGUGGGAUGCUGAACCAAAGCAAUAACAUUUAUGUUUGAUAUUGUAUGUAAACUUAAACAUGAUGACUGGAAGAGAAGUUUUGUGGGACGGGCAGCACUAGGUGUCCAAUGUGCAUGUACUAAAACUGUGUUACGGAGAAACUGACGGCAUAUAAUUCUAAAGGUUCGAUACAUUUACAUGUAUCAACUAGAAGGAACCAAUUCUGUGAAAAGAGUCGGUCUGCACAUCACUAGCUUAGGCUCAUGGUAAAUGGACUGUGUUUAUAUAACACUUUUGGGGAUCAGUAUCAGACAGUUCAACAGGUAAACUGCGGACCAAUGAUCGCUCUACCUCCUACAUCUUCAGGGGUCUUAUAAUAUUUAGAGCCUUCCACCAAUGAGACAGGAAAAAAAAAGGAUUCCUGUCACAUUGACCAGAAACAAGGUGAAAUAAUUCAAACUGUUGGUUAGAACAUAGACCUAUAGUAUGGUGAACUAUUCAGCAGUGUCUCUAUGUUGAUGAAUACUGAGGGAGAUUGUUAAAAGCAAACGUUUCCAUUUUAAGGAUGACUGUAUCAAUAUUUUUGUAAAUAUAAUUCUACUGUAAACAUAUUCCAAAAAAUCACAUCUUUUUACACAUACAGUAUAUAUAAAGAUGGUCACAGUUGGUCUUGGCAGAUUGACUCAGAGUGGUUGGUCAGGAGCCGCCUCGUCCGCAGCUCAAAUCAACCUGCUGCAGUUUUCUCUCAUCAGCAGCAGGGUGGCCAGAGGAUUCAGUUACAGGGGAAAGGGUCUCCUGCUGCUGAGCUAACAGAAGACUGACCCGUCAACAACACCAGUACCUCUCUGCUUUAGUAUAUAUUAAGAAAGUUCAGUAAGUCCCUUUAGCCUGUUUUCACACCUGUAGUUUGGUUCACUUGUCCAGAACUAUAUAUAUAAUAUAUAAAUGAUCUCCCCUUGCUCUGUGGUUCUUCUCUGUUUAUGGUUUGCAAUAAAAAGCGAGGUGUCAUGGACUGACUUGGUGAAGUCGUGCAUAAUCAGUCCCACAUGGACACAUCAGGGAAUAUUCAAACAGUGUAUUGUGCCUAGUCAUGCUGCAUUCCACUGAGCCAUGGGACUUUAUUUAUCAUCUCUGUUGGUUGUGAGGACAUAGUUGUUUACAAGCAGUAGUAGACUCCAGUCUUGGCCUCGUGUCAUACAUACACAUGAUGUAACAAUCUGCUUGUUCUUUG